GAGUGAAGUGAUGCUUUACCAUCUUUCGGGACUUACCCAAUUAUGGGGAUACUUUUAUUUUCUUACUGAUCACUC